rnacentral:rRNA from 1 species
AGUGAACGCUGGCGGUAGGCCUAACACAUGCAAGUCGAACGGCAGCACAGUAAGAGCUUGCUCUUACGGGUGGCGAGUGGCGGACGGGUGAGGAAUACAUCGGAAUCUACUUUUUCGUGGGGGAUAACGUAGGGAAACUUACGCUAAUACCGCAUACGACCUACGGGUGAAAGCAGGGGAUCUUCGGACCUUGCGCGAUUGAAUGAGCCGAUGUCGGAUUAGCUAGUUGGCGGGGUAAAGGCCCACCAAGGCGACGAUCCGUAGCUGGUCUGAGAGGAUGGUAGGCCACACUGGAGCUGGGACAGGGUCCAGGCUCCUACGGUAGGCAGCAGUGUGGAAUAGUGGACAAUGGUCGCAAGCCUGAUCCAGCCGUACCGCGUGGGUGAAGAAGGCCUUCGGGUUGUAAAGCCCUUUUGUUGGGAAAGAAAAGCAGCAGGUUAAUACCCCGCUGUUCUGACGGUACCCAAAGAAUAAGCACCGGCUAACUUCGUG